rnacentral:sRNA from 1 species
GCUGGGUGUGGUGAUGCAUGCCUGUGAUCCCAGGGACUCAGGAGGCUGAGGCAGGAGGAUUGCAAGUUUGAGGUCAGCCUCAGCAACUCAGUGAGACCCUGUCUCUA